rnacentral:rRNA from 1 species
CCUACGGGUGGCAGCAGUGGGGAAUAUUGCACAAUGGGGGAAACCCUGAUGCAGCGACGCCGCGUGAGUGAAGAAGUAUUUCGGUAUGUAAAGCUCUAUCAGCAGGGAAGAAAAUGACGGUACCUGAUUAAGAAGCCCCGGCUAACUACGUUCCAGCAGCCGCGGUAAUACGUAGGGGGCAAGCGGUAUCCGGAUUUACUGGGUGUAAAGGGAGCGUAGACGGCAGCACAAGUCUGGAGUGAAAUGCCGGGGCUUAACCCCGGAACUGCUUUGGAAACUGGGCAGCGAGAGUGCAGGAGAGGUAAGUGGAAUUCCUAGUGUAGCGGUGAAAUGCAGAGAUAUCACGCAGAACGCCGAUGGCGAAGGCAGCUUACCGGCGCUCAACUGACGCUGAGGCACGAAAGUGCGGGUAUCGAACAGGAUUAGAUACCCUUGUAGUC